rnacentral:rRNA from 1 species
GCAGAAUUCCGCGAAUCAUCGAGUCUUUGAACGCAAGUUGCGCCCAAGGCUUGUCCAAGGGCAUUUCCGCUAGAGCGUCACC